rnacentral:rRNA from 1 species
CCUACGGGCGGCAGCAGUGGGGAAUAUUGGACAAUGGGCGAAAGCCUGAUCCAGCCAUGCCGCGUGUGUGAAGAAGGCCUUCGGGUUGUAAAGCACUUUCAGUGGGGAAGAAAGCCUUGGGGCUAAUACCCUCGAGGAAGGACAUCACCCACAGAAGAAGCACCGGCUAACUCCGUGCCAGCAGCCGCGGUAAUACGGAGGGUGCGAGCGUUAAUCGGAAUUACUGGGCGUAAAGCGCGCGUAGGCGGUCUGAUAAGCCGGUUGUGAAAGCCCCGGGCUCAACCUGGGAACGGCAUCCGGAACUGUCAGGCUAGAGUGCAGGAGAGGAAGGUAGAAUUCCCGGUGUAGCGGUGAAAUGCGUAGAGAUCGGGAGGAAUACCAGUGGCGAAGGCGGCCUUCUGGACUGACACUGACGCUGAGGUGCGAAAGCGUGGGUAGCAAACAGGAUUAGUACCCUUGUAGUC